AUUGAACGCUGGCGGCAGGCCUAACACAUGCAAGUCGAGCGGAUGAAGGGAGCUUGCUCCUGGAUUCAGCGGCGGACGGGUGAGUAAUGCCUAGGAAUCUGCCUGGUAGUGGGGGAUAACGUCCGGAAACGGGCGCUAAUACCGCAUACGUCCUGAGGGAGAAAGUGGGGGAUCUUCGGACCUCACGCUAUCGGAUGAGCCUAGGUCGGAUUAGCUAGUUGGUGGGGUAAAGGCCUACCAAGGCGACGAUCCGUAACUGGUCUGAGAGGAUGAUCAGUCACACUGGAACUGAGACACGGUCCAGACUCCUACGGGAGGCAGCAGUGGGGAAUAUUGGACAGUGGGCGAAAGCCUGAUCCAGCCAUGCCGCGUGUGUGAAGAAGGUCUUCGGAUUGUAAAGCACUUUAAGUUGGGAGGAAGGGCAGUAAGUUAAUACCUUGCUGUUUUGACGUUACCAACAGAAUAAGCACCGGCUAACUUCGUG
rnacentral:rRNA from 1 species